AUGGCCAUUCAGAAGAUCUGGCAGAGACAUUACCACAUUCUUACUAAGAGGGAGCUGACAAAGGAAUACAUAGUAGAUGAUCUUCAUGGCUGUUAUACACCACCAAAGUUGGAUUCAGAACAUGAAGAACGUCUGAAAAUGCUUAAGCUUUUAUAAUAAUGGGAGGGUUAGUGAAGUUGUAAGACACUCCGAAGUGUCUCUAAGUAAUCAGGAUUUUGAAAAGCUUCAUAUUGUUACUUACCGAGAUAAAGAUGCUGCAUUUUCAAUUUGUUUGCCAAGUUUGUCUGAUAUAACAAGGACGAAAGAAAAUGAGAAUAUACUUUCUUU
rnacentral:misc_RNA from 1 species